AUGAUUGACGGAAACAGACAUUGGAAGUGUAAGUACUGUCCCAUGGUUGGGCGCAGCGGUGGUGUCACCAGCCUCAAGCAUCAUGUUGCUGGUGGCAGUAGCAGGGUAAGGGCCCGCCCAUCUGCUCCUAAACAUGUCUCCAACGAGAUGAAACAUUGGUUGGACAGGACGAGGCGGAAACCACGAAAGUGGACUGUUGUGCAGCCGGCUACGGCCACGACCAUUGACCCCAACAACUCUGUACCCAGCGAUUCGACAGAUAAUGAGGAAGGCAGUGCAUUCCCCUCACCAGCAUCAUUCAUGACACGCCUUGUGGAUAUGAUGCUUUCUGCUGGAGAGGUGUUGAUGGCGGAGGAGGUGGUGAUGACCUCUGCAAACAAGCCAUGA
rnacentral:rRNA from 1 species